UGAGGAAUAUUGGUCAAUGGUCGCUAGACUGAACCAGCCAAGUAGCGUGCGGGAUGAAGGCCCUCCGGGUCGUAAACCGCUUUUAGACGGGGAUAAAAGGGCGUACGUGUACGCCGUAUUGCAUGUACCGUCAGAAAAACGGACCGGCUAAUUCCGUGCCAGCAGCCGCGGUAAUACGGAAGGUCCGGGCGUUAUCCGGAUUUAUUGGGUUUAAAGGGAGCGUAGGCGGGGCUUUCAAGUCAGUGGUAAAAUCGUGUGGCUCAACCAUACCUCGCCAUUGAAACUGGAAGUCUGGAGUGCACACAGGGGUGCCGGAAUUCAUGGUGUAGCGGUGAAAUGCUUAGAUAUCAUGAAGAACUCCGAUCGCGAAGGCAAGUGCCCGGGGUGCAACUGACGCUGAGGCUCGAAGGUGCGGGUAUCGAACAGGAUUAGAUACC
rnacentral:rRNA from 1 species